UGGGGAAUAUUGCACAAUGGGGGAAACCCUGAUGCAGCGACGCCGCGUGAAGGAUGAAGUAUUUCGGUAUGUAAACUUCUAUCAGCAGGGAAGAAAAUGACGGUACCUGACUAAGAAGCCCCGGCUAACUACGUGCCAGCAGCCGCGGUAAUACGUAGGGGGCAAGCGUUAUCCGGAUUUACUGGGUGUAAAGGGAGCGUAGACGGCAUGGCAAGUCUGAUGUGAAAACCCGGGGCUCAACCCCGGGACUGCAUUGGAAACUGUCAGGCUAGAGUGUCGGAGAGGCAAGUGGAAUUCCUAGUGUAGCGGUGAAAUGCGUAGAUAUUAGGAGGAACACCAGUGGCGAAGGCGGCUUGCUGGACGAUGACUGACGUUGAGGCUCGAAAGCGUGGGGAGCAAACAGG
rnacentral:rRNA from 1 species